rnacentral:rRNA from 1 species
AUUGAACGCUGGCGGCAUGCCUUACACAUGCAAGUCGAACGGUAGCGGGCCUUCGGGUGCCGACGAGUGGCGAACGGGUGAGUAAUGCAUCGGAACGUGCCAUUGAGUGGGGGAUAACGUAGCGAAAGUUACGCUAAUACCGCAUAUUCUGUGAGCAGGAAAGCAGGGGACCGCAAGGCCUUGCGCUCUUUGAGCGGCCGAUGUCAGAUUAGCUAGUUGGUGAGGUAAAGGCUUACCAAGGCGACGAUCUGUAGCGGGUCUGAGAGGAUGAUCCGCCACACUGGAACUGAGACACGGUCCAGACUCCUACGGGAGGCAGCAGUGGGGAAUUUUGGACAAUGGGGGCAACCCUGAUCCAGCCAUGCCGCGUGAGUGAAGAAGGCCU